AGCGAACGCUGGCGGCAGGCCUAACACAUGCAAGUCGAACGGUCCUUCGGGAUAGUGGCGGACGGGUGAGUAACACGUGGGAACGUGCCUUUUGGUUCGGAACAACUUGGGGAAACUUAAGCUAAUACCGGAUGUGCCCUUAGGGGGAAAGAUUUAUCGCCAUUAGAGCGGCCCGCGUCUGAUUAGCUAGUUGGUGGGGUAAAGGCCUACCAAGGCGACGAUCAGUAGCUGGUCUGAGAGGAUGAUCAGCCACAUUGGGACUGAGACACGGCCCAAACUCCUACGGGAGGCAGCAGUGGGGAAUCUUGCGCAAUGGGCGAAAGCCUGACGCAGCCAUGCCGCGUGAAUGAUGAAGGUCUUAGGAUUGUAAAAUUCUUUCACCGGGGACGAUAAUGACGGUACCCGGAGAAGAAGCCCCGGCUAACUUCGCGCCAGCAGCCGCAGUAA
rnacentral:rRNA from 1 species